GCCAAACCUUCAGUGGACUCUUGAUCAAAUUGGAACGAUUCAAAGACGAUUAGCAUGGCCCUUGUGCAAGGAUCACACGCGCAAAUUGAGAAGUGGUCCAAAUUUGU